rnacentral:rRNA from 1 species
CGUAGGGGCAAGCGUUGUCCGGAUUUAUUGGGGCGUAAAGGGCGCGUAGGCGGCCUCUUAAGUCAGUUGUGAAAGGUCCCGGCUCAACCGGGGAGUUGCAGCUGAAAACUGGGAGGCUUGAGUGCAGGAGAGGAGAGCGGAAUUCUCGGUGUAGCGGUGGAAUGCGUAGAGAUCGGGAGGAACACCAGUGGCGAAGGCGGCUCUCUGGCCUGUUACUGACGCUGAGGCGCGAAAGCGUGGGGAGCGAACAGGAUU